CACGGGGGGGGUAAGCGUUGUUCGGAAUUACUGGGCGUAAAGGGCUCGUAGGCGGCCAACUAAGUCAUACGUGAAAUCCCUCAGCUUAACUGGGGAACUGCGUGUGAUACUGGAUGGCUUGGAUUUGGGAGAGGGAUGCGGAAUUCCAGGUGUAGCGGUGAAAUGCGUAGAUAUCUGGAGGAACACCGGUGGCGAAGGCGGCAUCCUGGACCAAUAUUGACGCUGAGGAGCGAAAGCCAGGGGAGCAAACGGG
rnacentral:rRNA from 1 species